CCCUUCUCAUCAACUACACAACCAAACGAUUCUCCCCUCUCAUAACUAUGUUUCACCCUCCUACAGCUGUGAUGGAGCGUGACGCUCGUUUUUACCUCUUUUCCCUCCUUUUCUUUCACCCGUCUCUCCUUUUUUCGCGCCAGUGAAAACCAUUCGCCACAUCUAUCGCACAUGCCAAAUCCAUUUACGUCGGACGCGUUUCUGCGUCAUUAUCCGCCUAUCAGAUAUAGUUAUAAUCGGUGUUGCAUCGGUCCAGCUAUGUAGGAUCAAGGUUAACGAUAUUGAUGCCGGCAGAUCGCGCGUCCAGCGUCCUAGGAAUUUCUCGUGUGCGCCGCGUCGUAAUCGAUCGGCAGCCGUCGAUGAGAGGGAGAGAUUGAUAAAGUAGCGUGAAAUCGAUCUGGAGCGGAAAGUAGCCGGCUACCGGAUCUGGAAUCGAACCAAAGGAUAACGUCGCCACUGUGAAUUCACGUGGAACAUUUUAUAAAAUGGAACUACGUUUCGUUUCAAACUGGAAAGACGAAUGACUGUGAUUUUCUGUAGGGAUCCUGGAAAUUCAUGAAGAAAUUCGCCACGGAUAUGAUCGAAGCUACUCGGCCUUUGCUUAUAGAUAAUUAUAGAAGACACCCUCUGUAUCUACAACAUUUCAUGCACAUCGAAAUUAUAAAAGUAUUAAUAAAAAAAAAAAAAAAGAGUAACUAGUAACUCGGUAGCAAAAUUUGCAAACAUAUA